UCCGAUAUAGUGUAAUGGUUAACAUACUCCGCUUUCAAGUCUUUAAUGACCCGGAGAGCUCCGGGUUCAAUUCCCGUAUGUAU